UCAUCUUUGGCCGCGUAUCAUGUUUUAUUUCGCGUCGUUAAGUCGUUACGUCGAAUAAAACAUCAUUAACUUUUGACUUUGCGUAUGCCUCGCGUAUUUGCUGAUCGUAGGCCAUCUCUUUUUCGAAAGAUCAUUUCUUUAGUGCUUUCCUAUUUCUCUGCCGUUUCUUACACGCGUGAACCGACCUCCGAGUCGACGAUUUUGAUCGAAAGCAGUUUGACGUUUGCCUUCUCGUCGGAAGGUGACGCUAUCAGUUACGUUCGAGAAUCGCAUAUCGAAAGAUCGAUCGGACCUAAAUCUUUCGCGAGGUGGAUUAUCACACGCCGGGCUAACAGAGUUGUCAGUUUAUUGAAAAAAAGAUGGAGGUUAAUUCGUCUCGAACAGAAUCCCUUUGUCCCUUGGAUCCGUUCUCUUUGUCACUAGGUUUGCUAACAGCGGAAAACUCGAGCGAAAAGGCUCGAGAGUGUUGAAAAGGAAGAAUAGAGAAGAAAGGGCCGAGAGAAGCGGAAGCUCGUCGAUCAGCGUACUGCGGAUGUACUUCCUGUAUUUGUAGGAAAUUUAAAAUUCCAAAGAUCCACGGAACGCACGCACUAUGCAAAAACGAAGAAUCUGUCCAAGGUGUUUUGCACUGGCGUAGGUUGGAAACGUUGUCGCAUAGAAACUUCCUCUCGUAUUCGCGCUAUGCGAUAUUUUCGUUCGAUGGCAGCGGAAGGAGCGCGAUAGGAAACUGUAUUGUCCGAAACUUUUCGGGUAGACAGGAGAGUUUUUAAAUGGAGGUGGAAUUUUUCUGCCGGGGAACGCGCAGGGACGGCCCUUGGGCGCACGGUCUUCGCUGGUCGGAAGCUGGACGUUGAGUGUAUUUAAAAAAGGACGAGGCUGACGAAGCGAGAACGUCGGUCGACCGUGGGCUGUCAUCUGAAAACGAACCGUUAAAUCGGUUCGCGGCGGAAAUCAGGAGGCGUCCCCUUUUCGUUGCAUGUCGCGUGAUUUAAGCGAAACGAAAUAAAAAGAAAAUCACCGCAGCGAUAUCGGUUAACGCGUUGGUUGCGCGUAGCUGGCGGGGCUUUUUAUUUCGCGGAGGCGGCAAUCGUGGCAAGACGAGGCACCGAGGCGGCGACGAGUAUUUCCGACAGUGAAACAGUCGUUGCGUGUCCAUAAAAGCCGCGUGGGACGCGACCGAGUAUUAACCAUUAUAUAAAAGUUGCGCUCUCUUCUCUUGGUGGCGCGCGAAAAAGCUCGCUAGCUGGAAAAAUGUUCGAAAUUCGAUGCACCGCGGUCUGUUAGGUUUUUCGUGGCGACGCGCGACGUGUCCAACGGAAGAUAGUCCGGGAGACGUGGCGUUUCUAUCAGGCGAAAUGCAACGGUAUAAAAUAUUCACCGCGCGAAACGCGGUUGCGAUUUUGGUGGAGGUUUCGCGCACGUUGGUUACGAGUUUAUUUCGAGGCUAACGACGUUGGGCGAAAAAUGAAGGCAAAAAAUAAUCGAGGCAGGGAGAAAAAGCGGCGGUCUUUUUUCCCCCCGUGGUUUACACGAGCUUCCGGAAUUUUCUAAUUUGUCGGCUUGGCAGGAUCGUGCAACGCGCGUUAUAAUCUCCGUCGCGUCGUCGAUUAAAAUUCAAGUCUGCGAACGCGGCCAACUGAACGGAAUCGAUAACCCGGAGAUCUUGGCGAAACGAGAUACUCGGAUAACAGCGCGUACAGCCGAAAGACGGUAAACAGUGACGUUGUUACGCGUUACUUCGGAGAUACGGAAUAUCCGCCUCGACGAGCUCCGGUAAUGACGUCGAACGAUGACAACGAACGACGUGGCCCGGCAACUCGAACCACCCGGCUUCUCUCCGCUUCCUCUUCCUUUUCCUUCUUUCUCUUUCUUUCGAACAACGUUCCUCCCUGUUCCACUACGCCCGGACCGUUCGAUUCGUUUCGACCAGAACCGAAUUUCUGUCUAACCGCGUGCGUACAACGUUGCAUGCUAACAAGGAUCGUGCAUUUUCUCGAAAAAUGAAUAACGGGGAAUAUCCGGUUGAUAUUGGGAAGAAGCAUUCGUCGGGGACUCGCUCGCUGUAGAGCCAAAGAGAAGCGAGAAAAUAUGCGGAACAGCUCUCGCUCGUCCCACCUAUAAUCAUCGCGUCGCGUCGAUCCAGCUUUCUUCUCGGCUUCGAAACCUACGAAGAAUCGAUAACCGCCGAGUUAUUUUAACGACCGAACCUCUCCGGCGAUACAUUCGUCGAAGAUGCUCGAGCCGGUUGGUUCACAACGGAAAUUGCUUCUUUUUAAUCGGUGCCUCGAUUUUUCCGGCCUCGAAAUACGGCAAAGAAGAAAUCGUCGAACGAAUUUUAAAAUAUGGAUUUGCCCGUACCGAGAGGCGUACCGAGGUUACGGGGGGUGACGCGCGCAAGACGCGAUUCCAGAAGUUAUCCGAUGGAGGAGACUCGAUAUAAAAAGUCCGAAAGAGUAAACUUUGUCGAGAACGCUUCGCACAGAUCGAAAGUUGGCUCUACCUCGCAGCAAGAAGCGUCCGUCGAACUAAAAUUUUCUCCUUAUCCCGCAGGAGACGACGAGGUGUUGCAACACGCUGCUCGAUGCUCGACCGUGAGGGUGGUAACCGCCGACCGUGUUCCGGUCUCUACCGGAACCCCUCGACUCCCACGACAUCAACAAGUGACAAGGAGGGAGUAGCAAAAACUCCGUCGUGGCGCGUCGUGCUCGCGAUAAAAGCUUACCGAGAUAGGGAAAGUUACGAACGCCCGACCCGACUGAAAACUAUGAGCAUCUCCUUCCGAUUAAAACGGUUUAACGCCGCCUCUUUUCUUGUCCGCUUCCCUUGCCCCGCCUCGUGUCCGUUAAAUUAACGUUUUAUCGAUCCGGUUAUUUAUUCGAUCUACGCCCGGCGUACGCGCACCUUCCACUCCUAUAUAUCGUUUCUGGUGGACGCGAAAACGGGCGAAAAUUUCUAAUCGGAGAAAAUUCGCUGGGCUGAAAAAUUCUAAAGGAUAGUAGUUGCGAUGCGAUUUCGUACGGGCGAUCGGUCUACUUGCCGACGUAAAUUGGCCCGGAUUAAUCGCGGUAAGGAAACAAGCGGAUAGUUUGUGGGUGGCAAGCCGGCUUCCAACAGGAUGGAUGGAUGAAUAGAUGGACGGAUAUAUGGGUGGAUGUGCGGAUGGGUAGAGAGGAGAGGAGAGGAGAGGAGAGCAGAGCAGCGAGUCAGCGAACAUAAGUCGGGGGUUGGGGUGAAGCGUUGUGUACGCUGAAGGUGGCUAGCCGGCGGGUCACUCGAGGCUCGUCGAAGCAACCGGGGUAACCGAAGCUCGCGAAACGCAUGGUUCUCCUGUUGCCGUUUCCGUGGAGUUUGAGCACGAGGACGCGCGCAACCAGGUUACCGAACGAACGAGCGAACGAGCGAACGAGCGAAUAAGCGAACGAGCGUGCGGCUUUACCGAGCAUAAGGAGCAACUCGCACGGUACCGUGGCCCAGCCUUCGGCAAAUGCAUGCCCUGUAAAUUGCCUGGCAUUUAAUUACCAUGAGUAGGCAGACCCUGCACGCUAAAGCCAAGAGCACUCUCUCACUUUCCCCUCCUUUCUCUUCGCUCUUUCUCCUCUUCUCCGCGGCUCUCUCUUUCGUUACCCUCCACCUCCUUCUCCUUCCGCAUGCCGUUUUCGCCGUAUCUCUCUUCGUCCGCCCUUCACCUUUUCCGAGCACUACCUCGUACCUCUGACCCUCCACCAUCUCUCCAUCUGCCUUAGGCUUACGGCCUACAACGCGUGUUACCAAGUACCGCUAAAUUAAACACCUGCUUCAGUCAAACGGUACGUACCUCUACUCACCGCUACGACCUACAAACUACACGGCUCAAAGCUCGCUCCUCGCUCUCCCAGCCCCAACCCUCUCUUCCUACCAACGUUUGCCGCUUCUAAUUGGACGAUGCUACGUCUCUUUCCUUUUUUUUUCCUCUCCCUCCUUUCUCCCCUUUUUGUUUUCCCUUACCUACGUGACACGCGAUUACGUGGAUGAAAAGUGCCGGGAUAAAAGCGUCGAUCCGGAAUUGUUUUCCAUGCCGCGCGCCUUCGUCCUUUUCCUUCGUUUCGUCAUCGUCCUCGCGAUCGACGCGUAUGGAAAUACGCGACCGCGAACGCGAGCGAGUCUCGCCGAAACGAAGCUUUACGAUUCGGAUGGCAGUUUGCGCACCUACUUCUCGCUGCGAACUUUCCUAGAUUUCGACAUGCCCUGAAGAGCCGGCUCGUAAUUAAGAUAUUUAUCGGCAAAGUCGAGAUCGUUUUGUCUGCCUUGCCUUGUCGUUUGUUUCAAUUUAUCGCCUGGAAGAGACAGUGGAAACGAGAGGGCGGACAAUGCCGGCGCUGCUUCCAGACUUCUCGUGGCCUUGAUUUCGCGCUCUUUUCCACAGACACUGACGUAAUUUCCUACUACUCGUCUCACGAUGCAUUUUAAUUUAGCUCCUUUCUCGAGUUUGCCGCCGACGGUGAUUCGUGAGUCGGUGUCGCGGCUCCGCCAACUUCCAACGGGGUGGCUCUUUGGGGGUGUUUUUGAUUUGUUGGCUCCCAUGGGACGACUGUUGCGAAAGAGGCAGGGUGGGAGCUAUUAAGAGGGACGGAGACAGAUAGAGUGACGGUGGAAGAAGGGAGGGGCAAGCAGGAGAAAGCAGGAGAGCGCGAGAGAAACGGAAUAGGGUGAAAGCCAUGGGCGUACGACGGCGCAGAGGGACGAACGGAGGAGUGGUUGGGUAACCGCACAUUAUGUGAUUUCUACAGGGAGCUAGCUAACUUUGCGAUUGAAUUGUACCGGCGACAAUGGCAAUCUGCCAGGGCACUCGACGCUUCUCCGAGCAGGAUUUUCAACGAUUUUGCCGCGUUUCACGUCGUGCUGCGUAUCCUUUCUCCAUUGAAAUUCUUUCGCCACGAGAAUGCGAACAAGCGCGACCGACAACGCCGAUCCACCGCUUCUCUCCUUCUUCCCGUCCUUCGUUUCCAACCCCUUUCCUCUACGGUUUAUCGGUAACUGUACUUCUCGGCGCGUAUCUCCAAGGACGAUCAGUUGGUAGAUGUACUUGCACAACCUCGCACGGUCGAUCGAUCCUGUAAUCCAUUUAUCGUAAAACUUAUGUAGACACCUUAUUUGUACGUAAUCCGUGACGUGUAAGAUAAUUGGCUGUAAAUAUCAGCUUUUACGCGAAGAAGAGACACGUUAAAGGAAAGAUCGUUCCUUAAGAUCGGCAAAGAUUGUACGAUUUUUCCCCCAUUUAAGUAAUUUCUGUAUUAAAUAUGGUUCGAGAUGAG